AUGCUUCGGUUCCGAGCCGUUUCGGAUCUCUUAGAAUCCGACGGGCUCAGGUUUACGUCCGUGCAAGGCUUGUAUUUAACUUCCAGGUCGUCAACUUUCACCCAAUGCUCGCCGACUCCUUCCUCCAAAUUCCUCUUCUUCUUCUUCUUCUUUUUCUUCUUCUUCUUCUUCCUCUUCUUCUUCCUCUUCUUCUUCCUCUUCUUCUCCUUCUUCUCCUUCUUCUCCUUCUUCUCCUUCUCCUCCUCCUUCUUCUUCUUCUUCUUCUUCUUUCAAAUUGCUGAAAAUGGCAAAUCAAUGUUAAGUAUUGUAGCACCGUAUUUUUCUGUUUCUUCCUCAUUCAAGAAGACACACCGUAUGAGCAUUUGAGGGUUGCGAAAUUCCUCGGAAAAAUGAUAAUUCUCAAGGAGCUUCAUGAAUAUGUUCCUUCUCAACCGUCGGACAUGCUGCGGAUUAAAUUGUGAGGAGAAUGAGCAAUUAGAAAAGUACUGAACUAAAAGCAAACGUCACAUGUUCUCAUUUCAAAAUCUUACGUAGAAAGCUAUUUACACAAGAAGUUUGGAAACCAACUCCUGAACGAGAUGGCAACAAAAGGUUUCAAACAGAUCAAGAGAAAGUUAGAUUAUAUAAUGAUGUAAUUUUUUGCCAUUUAACCAAUUCUAAUUGUAAACACUUAUUUCGUGUCUGAGAUAGUUAAUUUUCAGACUUCCCGUCCUUUGAUUCGGUUUCCUAAUGAGAUAUUGAGGAGGCAACAUGAUACGCAGUGUUUUGACUCAUACUUUAUCUGGUAGCUCAUUGUGUGAAACAUGCUAAGGAAAAUAGACGUAUAUUACAUGCAAAUUCAGUUUUACAUCAUUAAAAAGACAGCGACUCAGAGCAGAGCUAUAUGACCAAUUAAUAACGCACUGCUUGCAAUUUCGAAGGAAAAACAUAUCCGAAGUGCCUUCAAUUUUGCGUAUAUGCAAUAUGGAGCAUCUUUUGAGCUCGAAUAUUUGCAGCAAAGCGUUGAAAUUAGCAAAUCCAAAGCGCUUUUAAUUUUUCAUACCCGGAGCAUAAAAAUUUCGCAGAAAGUACAAUGGUGCCAUUGAUUAUCUUUAAAAUCAACUGCCAAUUUAAACAGAUUUAAAAAGGCUAAAAGGGAAGGUCAUAUUGGAGGACCUCUCGAAAAUAGAUAUGAGAGGCUGAAAUGAAGGUCCAGGAGGCGGCUCUUGCAACAAUAAAAAAACUGUUUUCCCUGUCCAAAUUCCUUGUAAGUAAUCCCAAAUUCUAUGAAUUUUCUUCCCUCACUUUAAAAAAAAAAUGUCAGUAAGCUUCAAGAAGAUAUUUUGGUUGGUAGUUUACUUUCCGACAAAAAUGACGAUAAAAUGAGAAAAUUUGACAUAGUUGGAGAUUUGACACGUUGCAAUAGAACUACGCACUUUUUUACUUUAGCCGUCAGUGUGGUAGGUUAAUGAGCGAUGUGCGACCAUAGAGAUUCGUCCCUUCCCACAUAACAGAUUAAAAUGGUCAUCUUACCAAAAAUGGAUUUAGAACGUUCACAGGGAUCGAUACUUGAGUCCAUUUAGCAGCUGUUGAUUUUUUAGGAAUUCGACGACGAAAGACAUCAACGGACCAAAUGACCAAACGCAGAUUUUGCGCUGUAUUCGAGAAAUCCGGAAUUAAAAGGUGACUUCAGCUCCAUCUUCUUUAACUAAAUCAACAAGUAAUUUAGAACUAGAUAUAAACAUUUAUAAUUAAAAACUAAAAUGAAAUCAUGUUUAAUAUCCAGACGCAUUACUCUGAAUUAGUUGCUUCGCCAUUUUUGCAACAAUCGAGUACCUAGUGAAAGCUCUGAAAGUCUUACCACCAUCCCUCUCAACAACUUCAUACAAAAUAUGAGGAAUGUGUUGAAGAAAAGUGUAAAAUCACCAAGACAAUGAGAAAAUUGGACGUAGUUCUACCAAACAGACCUAUGUGCAAGUGAGAAAUAUGGGGUGUGCUCGUUAGUUCUCUUGGCGUAAGAGUGAAUGAGAAUAAUAAAGCGCCAGUGACGUCAGCGGCGAUGAAGGAGACGACGAUCCGCGGAUCUGCGUCUUUAACUCAUGAGCCCUGUCCACAAGGCUCUCUUGCCAUGCCCGCGGCUCAUGAAUCCCGCAUUCAGUUGGCACAUAGGUCUGUUUGAUAGAAUGUAAUAUCCCGCUUUUCCAAUUCUUCAAAAGGAAUCACGCCCACUUUUACAUUGCUUCAUAUGCAGAUUUCUAGAGCACACCCCAUAUUUCUCACUUGCACAUAGGUCUGUUUGGUAGAACUACGUCCAAUUAGAGGUACACGUUUACUGGUUACGCAUUGAAAUCAGUUUAUCCAAACCUCCCUUUCAAUCUUGAAGAAACCAAAAUAGGCCAAUAAUGCGCAUAUCACCAGCACAAGAGCAUAAGACUCUCCCAGUGCACUCUAGCAUUUAGUGACAUCACUAAAACAUCACAUACCCAAUUAGCAUUUCUCAACGGAGUGAAGUAGCACUAGUUUGUUACAGUAUAAAGCACAAACAUGAAUUAAAAAAUCCCGUGUUUUAAUAUCCAUCAAAUCUGGCCCGGAACCGGUUUAUUGAUAGCAAAACACACAGAACACUGGAAAAAAACACACAUUGGAUCUAGUGUCCAGACUCUUGAAAACAUUGACGAGAAAGAGGAUUCUUGAUUCAAACAGAUUUAAGCUUAAAUCAAAAGGAAAUCCGCUCAAAUUAAGAGGCUUGGUUCUUGAUUUAAGCUGAAAUCUGAUUGAAUCAAGAGUAUUUUUUCUUGUCGAUGUUUUCAAGAGUCUGGACUCUAAAUCCAAUGUGUUUUUUUUCCAGUGUGUAUUUUCUUUUAGCAUAUGAUUUUAGAUGAAAAUGAUCCGUACAGAGUUUACAGACAUUUCAAAAUGCUGCAAAAUGCUUACUCCUUGAGAUUGAGUAUUAGAACCAAACUCAACAGUGCGGCCAGCGCAAGACGCGUGUUAGCGCCUAAAAGACGCCAAUAAUUCUUCACGCUAUGCGCAUACACACCGUAGUGUGCGCGCAAUGCGUGAAGUAUCCUCUGUGGUGUGCGCGCAAUGCGAGAAGUACAUUUCCAACUGAGGUUUGAAUCCACCUAAGUUUUGGUCAGCUCCAAUAAUCGUUUAGAUGACUUUUAACUCUUUUUUUUCUCCCGGGAUUCGCACAGAUUCAGCGAAUGAAAACUGUUUCAUAAUCACAGAGCGAUGAAUGUAGGAGAUGAAGGAGAGGCAGAUGGGAUCAAAGGUGAUAUUCUGAUAUUUCAAAACUACUGAAACUGCAAAAUAGCGUUUUUCUGGAUAAAAAAGC
rnacentral:lncRNA from 1 species